AAGACUAUACUUUCAGGGAUCAUUUCUAUACUAUGUGACUAGAGAAGUUUCUCUGAUCAUUGUAGAGCAUCGGAAGCCAUGAGGAGGAGUCAGAGCAUCCUCUCCUGAGCAUGAAAAUGGUUCUAGGUGUUGCUUCUGCAACUGCCCUUUGCCAUUGAUGAUCAUUCUUCCCUCCCUUUAUAAGGGGUAGAGGGAGAGGAUGCAGUUAAAU